CAGCCGCCACGGUAAUACGGAGGGUGCAAGCGUUAAUCGGAAUUACUGGGCGUAAAGCGUGCGUAGGCGGUUCGUUAAGUCUGUUGUGAAAGCCCCGGGCUCAACCUGGGAAUGGCAAUGGAUACUGGCGAGCUAGAGUGUGUCAGAGGAUGGUGGAAUUCCCGGUGUAGCGGUGAAAUGCGUAGAGAUCGGGAGGAACAUCAGUGGCGAAGGCGGCCAUCUGGGACAACACUGACGCUGAGGCACGAAAGCGUGGGGAGCAAACAGGAUUAGAGACCCCCGUAGUCCCUGUCUCUUAUAA
rnacentral:rRNA from 1 species